rnacentral:misc_RNA from 1 species
UACGUAGGGGGCAAGCGUUGUCCGGAAUUAUUGGGCGUAAAGCGCGCGUAGGCGGUCUCUUAAGUCUGAUGUGAAAUCUUGCGGCUCAACCGCAAGCGGUCAUUGGAAACUGGGGAACUUGAGUACAGGAGAGGAAGGUAGAAUUCCCGGUGUAGCGGUGAAAUGCGUAGAGAUCGGGAGGAAUACCAGUGGCGAAGGCGACUUUCUGGUCUGUAACUGACGCUGAGGCGCGAAAGCGUGGGGAGCAAACAGG